rnacentral:rRNA from 1 species
GAUGAACGCUAGCGGCAGGCUUAAUACAUGCAAGUCGAGGGGCAACAGGGGUAGCAAUACCUGCUGGCGACCGGCAAACGGGUGCGGAACACGUGCAGAACCUUCCUUUAAGCGGGGAUAGCCCAUAGAAAUGUGGAUUAAUACCCCAUAGUAAUGUUGAGUGGCAUCACUUGAUAUUUAAAGAUUUAUCACUUAAAGAUGGCUGUGCGUCUGAUUAGGAGUUGGUCGGGGUAACGGCCCACCAAGCCAACGAUCAGUAACUGGUGUGAGAGCACGACCAGUCACACGGGCACUGAGACACGGGCCCGACUCCUA